GCAUGCCUACAACAUAGCGUUAAUGCAUUGGAUCCCAUUAGAAAUUCACAGUUAAGCGUGCUUGGGCUAGAGUAGUAUUGGGACAGGUAAUCGCUCAGGAAGUCCUAGUAUUUUACAUGCC
rnacentral:rRNA from 1 species